rnacentral:rRNA from 1 species
UACGUAGGGUGCGAGCGUUAAUUGGAAUUACUGGGCGUAAAGCGUGCGCAGGCGGUUUUGUAAGCCAGAUGUGAAAUCCCCGGGCUUAACCUGGGAAUGGCAUUUGGGACUGCAAGGCUCGAGUGCGGCAGAGGAGACUGGAAUUCCUGGUGUAGCAGUGAAAUGCGUAGAUAUCAGGAGGAACACCGAUGGCGAAGGCAGGUCUCUGGGCUGACACUGACGCUCAUGCACGAAAGCGUGGGGAGCAAACAGG